rnacentral:lncRNA from 1 species
AUGUUUGCCUUCUCUAAUGGAUGGUUCUGGAGUACAUGUGCAGAACGUGCAGGAUUUUUGCAUAGCACAUCUCCUAUAUGCCUGGCACUGGGCCAAGUACUAAGGAAGCCACCCGGAAUUAUGGGAAUUAAAAUGGAGCCUAAAGACCAAUUUCCAGGUAUCCUCAACAACUUUAGACCAGCGUGUCAAUCUCAAAUGCCCACAGGGACCAGGUGGAGACAUGUCCCUGGGAAAGAAAGCAUCUGCUUCCAUGCAAAUGUCAUCAGUAAUAAAGAACGAUGGGGAAGCCAUGUGAUCCAGGAAUUGGAUCGUGUCCAUCUCGGGUCUGCUUUUCAGUUGUAAAAACAGUAAGUUACCCUCCAUUAUUCUUAUGCCCUGGGUGAAAACCUUUUUUAGCUUUACCAGGUUCCAGAAAGAGGCAUCAGCACUUGGCAAAGUCUUUAGAAAAUGAUUGUUUCUGAAUUCUGCUACAAACUCCAAAUGCCACUUCCUGGUUCAGAAGCAAGAAGCUUGGGGGAAAGUCAGUUUGAGCUCGUAAAAACAGUCAAAGGGCAUACUGGUCAUCAAACAGCUCUGAGCAAACUGCAUUUGCAAAUGAAUCUGAAACAUGUGGAUUCAAUUUUCCUUGAAAUGCCCAGAGGUUAAAAAAUUAAAGGGAAAAGUUUGGCAGAAAGAGUCUGGGUUUUGGCUAUGGACAUAAGUUUCUGAAAAAUAAAUUGAUUGUUUUGCCAGAGAACAAGUAUUACCUGGUUCCCCUUCUCAAUCACAUCUCUAACUUAAUUACCAAUGGCCCCAUUUCUCAUUGUGCCUGCAACGUGGACAAAAGAGUUGAGUCCAUUCGGUAAGAAAGCAAAUUUUCUUCAUUCCCAGUGUGUUCUUGUGUGUGGCCAACCCAGAAUUUCGGUACUGUCAUGGGUUUCAACUCCAGUAACAUCGUGGCAAGAAAACCAUCUGCUAGCAAAAUUGUUUCUCCUCUGCCCAUUGCAUCCCAUCUGCCUUCACUCAUCAAGUUUUGUCCCUCUUUUUCCUUUUGCCAAUUCACCAAAAUAAUACCUUUAUUAUGACCAAAUAAACAUAGUCAAAUAUGGAAGUGCUUUAGAACAAAUCCAAAUUGUUUUAAAAGAUCACGAAAAUAGAGUGGGUGGGGGGAACACUGCAUCCGUGAAAAAGCAGUGAUUAGCCUUAAAACAACGUGAGGCCAACGGCACAGAGUCCCAUUUAUGAGAUGAUGUGUGUUGCCCGUAAGUGGCUGUUCCUGGUCUCUGAGGUAGCAAAGUUGUCACAUGGUUCUGUUGUUGCCAUGGCAAUAAUCUGUAAUUGUGCAGAAAAUCCACAGAACUCUGAGCAACUCCUUAGUGGAUUGGGCUGAAAGAAAAUCAAACCCGUGAAAGCCCUGAAUUGAUGUGGUUAUAAAAGUGUAUUGGCUAAGCUGGCUUUCCUUCCUCUGACCCCCAUCUAACUAUGGUGAACGCCCUCGUGUAUGUAUAUUUUUCUCACUUCUGUGUUCAUAACCGGUGAAAGGUAUAAAUCCUACUCAGCUCGGGAAAAGCCUCAGCUCACUCCUUAAAAUUCUGAACACACAGUCUCUAAUCUACAGGGUGGGAAUUGUGGCUUUUUUGGCUGCUGGAAUUUCCUGACCCCAGCCUGAUCUGAACCUCUAGGUGAAACAACAUUUUAAAUACAUUAGGGUCUCCCCAAGCCCAGGUGAGUGUUUAACCCCCAGCAGCGGCACCAAGAAUAUGCUGGGCAGGCGAGUGAAGCUCUGAGGGUGUGUUGCCCCUGGGUAGCUUGGCAACACAGCAUACACACAUGUACAACACACCCAUCUGAAGGCAUGCCAGUACUCCCUGCCUUUAAGCUAGCUAAUACAAACCAUGCCCAAAAUACAGCCAGGAAACGGAGGGUAAGUGGCA